rnacentral:lncRNA from 1 species
AAUCAUAACAGGAAUAAAACCCCCACCAAGUAAUUCCCUACAUUAGCGACCCAAACUGGCCCUAGUCCUCUGCCCUAAUUCGCGUCCUCCAGCCCUUCCUAUCUAGGGUCAUGUCCUCGGUGAGCUGUAACUGCUCCAUGUCCCGCCUAAUCACCUCACCCCAGUACUUCUUCGGCCUACCCCUACCCCGCCUAAAACCAUCCAACGCUAGCCUCUCACACCUACGGACCAGGGCAUCCAUGCCCCUCCUCUUCACGUGUCCGAACCAUCUCAAUCGGGCUUCCCGCAUCUUGCACUCCACUGAAAUCACCCC